AGCACAAAGGCCUGCAGCUGAAGCUACUUGCGACAGGUGUCAAUCACUUCAUCUGAAUUGACCUACAAGAUUAAAGGGGGAUUAAAAAAAGCACUGUGAUGGGAGUGACGGAGAAGAGCGGGAGAGAGAAGAGAGCAGAAAGGAACGUACUCAGCCACAAACCCUGUCAUUCCAAGGCAUGUCCUACAAUCCAGGAUCCUGGAUGUGGCCACAAUUAUGACAACUGCAAUAAACAGCAGUGAGAAGAAGCAAAGCUGGAAAAAAAAUUAAAAUAAAUCUUGAACAAAAAUUGAAGGAGACAGAGCAGUGGCUGAAGUCUGAGGACCACUUAAUGGCUGGUUAGUACUAAAAACAUAAAAUAUGCAAUAAUAAAUGUAUUUGACAACUCUCAAAACCUAUUGAUGAAACAAAACAUGUUUUGCAUGAGAAGAUGCUGAAACAGAAGUAGACAGCAGCAAGUGUUGUGUCAAACACAAACAAAAGACAUCAUAAAUGUGUCAUUGUCAGAUGCUUAUCAACAUAAAUGUGUCUUUUUUUCAUAUUCUCAUUCAAAACCUCUGCAGAGGGGGACAAGAAGGAAGGUGACACAAGUACAAAACUCAAUCCUGACACAAAUAAGUAAUAGAAUGCAACAAAACAUGAACAAUUUACUCUGUCCAGGGCGUACCCAUAGGGUGUAUCUAUCGCCCUAUGUCAGCUGACAUUGGCACAGCAC